rnacentral:lncRNA from 1 species
CUGGUUCAAUCUAUCGAUCGACAAAAAUCGCAGAACUCCCCAAAAGUAAAGUCCUAGUUGACGAAGGCCUAAUCAACAAAAAAAAUAGUCUAAUCGACAAUGGGAAAAAAAUCUCGACCGACGACUGAAAAUAUCAAAAGCAGGUUAGUGUUUCUUUUCAUGCAAUUUCAUCUGUGAAUGGAUUGUAUUAGUAUGAAAGAUGAACUGGAAUCAAGGAAGUAUACUGAUUUGAUGGGCGAGACUCCAAGGUACUAUUGUGGAUAUAGAGCUCGAAUGAAGAUAUCUUGAACUAAGAGUAAUCCAGAAAAAAGGUUCUUUGGUUGUCCACAAUGGAGCAAGGUACUAAUUCUGUAGUUUUUGGUUGGCUGAGUUUUUCUCUUAUUUUCUAAAAACAUUAGAAUUACAGUUGUGUUGCAAUUGUAUUCAUGUUUGAUGUUUUGGAUUGGUUUUUGCAACUUCUUUUGCUGGUAUGACCAAGAGAUUUGUAAAAGGUCGAGUUUUAUCUGAGUUGAAGCUUCACAUAAAUGGUCUGAAUUUGGAAAUAAAAAGGAAGAAGUAUGAAAUUGAGAGAGGCAUUGAAAAAAUAAUUGAAUUGAAAAAACCCAAUGAGAAGCUUCAACUUGAAUAUGCAAAAGAAAGUGAAGAGGUUGGAAAACUUAGAAAGGUGAUAGCAUUGCUGUGAAGGAAUGAGAAAAUAUGUACUGUUUCAUUUCAAUUAAAGUCAUGUUGUUAGGGAUGAUAUUUGUAUUCAUGUUAUGAAAAAUAUAUAUGAAUGGUAGUGGUGAAUGAUUAUAAUUUAUAGUUUCAAUUAUAUAUAAAGGAACAAGUUUGUAAUUGUUUG